GCCCUAAGGUCGGCUCAGGCGGGUCAGGAAUCCGCCGUAGAGUGCAAGGGCAAAAGCCGGCCUGACUGGACCCGUAACAGAGGCGGGUCCAGCCGCGAAAGCGUGGCCUAGCGAACCCCAGAGCCUCCCCGGUGGGGGCCUGGGAUGACAGAAAAGCUACCCUGGGGAUAACAGAGUCGUCUCGGGCGAGAGCCCAUAUCGACCCCGAGGCUUGCUACCUCGCUGUCGGCUCUUCCCAUCCUGGUCCUGCAGCAGGGGCCAAGGGUGGGGGUGUUCACCCAUUAAAGGGGAACGUGAGCUGGGUUUAGACCGUCGUGAGACAGGUCGGAUGCUAUCUACCGGGGGUGCUGGCUGCCUGAGGGGAAGGCGCCCUUAGUACGAGAGGAACAGGGUGCCGCGGCCUCUGGUCUACCGGUUGUCCUACAGGGCAUAGCCGGGCAGCUACGCCGUAUCCGAUAAGGCCUGAAGGCAUCUAAGGCCGAAGCGGUCCCCGAAAACAGGCAGCCACUCCCU
rnacentral:rRNA from 1 species